UGGGGAAUAUUGCACAAUGGGCGCAAGCCUGAUGCAGCCAUGCCGCGUGUGUGAAGAAGGCCUUCGGGUUGUAAAGCACUUUCAGCGAGGAGGAAGGUGGUGGACUUAAUACGUUCAUCAAUUGACGUUACUCGCAGAAGAAGCACCGGCUAACUCCGUGCCAGCAGCCGCGGUAAUACGGAGGGUGCAAGCGUUAAUCGGAAUUACUGGGCGUAAAGCGCACGCAGGCGGUUUGUUAAGUCAGAUGUGAAAUCCCCGGGCUCAACCUGGGAACUGCAUUUGAAACUGGCAAGCUAGAGUCUCGUAGAGGGGGGUAGAAUUCCAGGUGUAGCGGUGAAAUGCGUAGAGAUCUGGAGGAAUACCGGUGGCGAAGGCGGCCCCCCUGGACGAAGACUGACGCUCAGGUGCGAAAAGCGUGGGGAGCAAAACAGGAUUAGAUACCCUGGUAGUCCACGCUGUAAACGAUGUCGAUUUGGAGGUUGUGCCCUUGAGGCGUGGCUUCCGGAGCUAACGCGUUAAAUCGACCGCCU
rnacentral:rRNA from 1 species